UGACGUAAUGGACAUACCAUAUCGGUAUGACAUUGCUUAACAUGAUCAUCCUUUCCUUGGUGUAAGAAAAAUAUCUAACCAUUUUAAAUACCAUUCUUUGUCAAGUGAGGAAAAUUCUACAUGCAAAUUAACUAUAACUAAGAAACAAAUAUAUUUAUUUGUUUCAUAAUUCUAGACAUAAAACUACUGUAGAGACUUAUAUUGAGGAUAUUAAUUAUAGUCUUUUCU
rnacentral:lncRNA from 1 species